CGGCUCAGUAACACGUGGACAACCUACCCUUAGGUCGGGGAUAAACCCGGGAAACUGGGUAUAAUACCCGAUAGAUCUCGACUGCUGGAAUGCAUCGAGAUCCAAAGCUCCGGCGCCUAAGGAUGGGUCUGCGGCCUAUCAGGUAGUAGUGGGUGUAGCGUACCUACUAGCCUACGACGGGUACGGGUUGUGAGAGCAAGAGCCCGGAGAUGGAUUCUGAGACACGAAUCCAGGCCCUACGGGGUGCAGCAGGCGCGAAAACUUUACAAUGCUGGAAACAGCGAUAAGGGGACCUCGAGUGCCAGGUUACAAAUCUGGCUGUCGUGAUGCCUAAAAAGCAUUGCAUAGCAAGGGCCGGGCAAGACCGGUGCCAGCCGCCGCGGUAACACCGGCGGCUCGAGUGGUAACCGUUAUUAUUGGGUCUAAAGGGACUGUAGCCGGCCGGAUAAGUCUCUUGGGAAAUCCAGCAGCUCAACUGUUGGGCUUUCAGGAGAUACUGUCUGGCUCGAGGCCGGGAGAGGUGAGAGGUACUUCAGGGGGUAGGGGUGAAAUCUUGUAAUCCUUGAAGGACCACCAGUGGCGAAGGCGUCUCACCAGAACGGACCUGACGGCAAGGGACGAAAGCUAGGGGCACGAACCGGA
rnacentral:rRNA from 1 species